rnacentral:rRNA from 1 species
UACGUAGGGAGCAAGCGUUGUCCGGAAUCAUUGGGCGUAAAGCGCGCGUAGGUGGCUUCGUAAGUCCGUUGUGAAAGUCAAAGGCUCAACCUUUGAAAGCCGAUGGAUACUGCGGAGCUAGAGUACGGAAGAGGCGAGUGGAAUUCCGGGUGUAGCGGUGGAAUGCGUAGAGAUCCGGAAGAACACCGGUGGCGAAGGCGGUCUGCUGGGCAGUUGCUGACGCUGAUGCGCGACAGCGUGGGGAGCAAACAGG